UUGUUACUUAUUUUCUUAACAUUAUUUUUUGUGUUUUGCCCAUUCUGAAAGGCACAGGCAGGCAAACAGAAAACUGCCUUUCCUCUUCAGUUAUUUUGCAUGAAAGGAACAGCACACUCCCCUGUGCCUUUCCAGUACAGCACAGAUACUUGUGAGCUUGUAAAGCACAGCAAGAGCUUGCUCCAAGAGGAUAAUUUCAGGCAACUCAUUCACAGUUGUGAUUUUUUUCUGUACAAAAGCCGAUCCAUUCUCUGCCAGUGAUGCCCUGUUCCCUGCUAGGAGGCAGCUGCGGGCUUGCUCUUUGCCCAGUGGUCAUGGAGAGGGUGAGCCUGUGCAGGAGCAGCCUGGUUGGAGCCUGGGGCAGACACACACUGCUCUGGGCAGUGGGGAGGGCUGGAGCUGCCAUCCUCUCCAGCAGGGCUGAACCCUUUCCUCAGGAAGCAAAGCUGCUGUUUCGCCCCAGCUGCUGGAGCCUGGGUGACCAAGGCUGGUCCCACUGCAGUGUCAUGCAGGCUGAGGAAACACUGUGCAUCAUGGGGCCUCAAGGCAAGUAUUCAAGCAAUGGUUAAAAUGGCUGGACAGCUUGCCCACUAGAAAACAGGGUUGUUUUUUUUUUUUUCCAUAGUCACUUCCCAGUCUUGGAUAUACAGUCUCUAGUUACCGGAGGGAUUCAGAGCUGGAACAGGCAGCCUCUUAAGUAUUAGGCUGCCCCUGUGUACUUGGCACCAAAUUCAGACAAUUUGGAGAACAUUUCAGAUUUCUGGAGGGUGUUUUUUUUUUUGUUUUGAUUUUUGUUUGUUUUUGUUUUGUUUUGAAUUUUUUUCUAAUUUUUAUUCCUUUCCAUAAGAAAACAGUUCUAUUUUUAGGACUUGGCCUAAAUUGUUGAGCCCAGUGGUUUUACUGUUGUUGUUUUUCCUCUCUUCAAUCAAACUGAAGUGGUUCUGGCUGAUCUGACUAGCAAAUCUGCCGUGUCUCUUAAAGUUACACUCGAGGAGAUUUUUUGAUUGCAUGGGUGUGUAUGUUUGCAUGGAAAGUUUCUCUCAAUUUCCUGGAAUAAAAGGAGUCUUGGCUUCUCCCAAAUCUAUACUCUAUGCUUGUAAAUGUCUCUGUUAAGACUGGUUUUGUGGAACAUUGUGAAGGAUGCUGUGCUAAAACAUGAUAUGUUGCUAAAUUGAAUUUUAUAUUUGAAGUUUUUCUCCCCAGUCACUUCUGUUCUUUCUAGCUGCAGCUGUUUCAAUGUAUAAUGUUUGUCUUCAACCUGCAGAGAUACCAGAAUAUCCCAUUUUUAUCACCUGUGGAAAAUCAGACAUCAUAACAAACUGAUGGCCAUAGCAGUGACUGGAGCAGUGAUAAGUAUCCCUAUCACCUCUCUCUUUGACUACAGUACAUAUGUAGACCCUGCUCACCCAAGUUACCUUUUGGAUGAAAGGGAAUAUUGCUUCCUCUGCAUGGUGCUAUGCUUGUACUAAUCAGAUUUUCCCUCUGUGCUAGUUGCAGGGCAGGGCCCAGGGGAUUAAAGGUAAAAUGAAAAGCUACCCCUUUUCUUCCUUUGUUCAUAGUGUUUAAGUUGCCAUUUUCACUCACUUUGUCUGAGAACAUCUGUCCUUCUGUUGCACAGGAUGUCUGAGCAGGCAGGAGGCACAUGCCAGUUACUGGCUGGUUUGGGAGCUUUCCAAAGGAAUAGGAUUUCUCCCAGUUUUGGAGGACCAGAGGUAGCAGUAGCAGUCAGCCACUUCCCAUGGAACUACAGAUGUCAACUAGGCAGCUGUAGACUGUCCUGAGGUCAUUUUUCCAAAGAGUGGCUGGACAACUGUGCUUCAUGUUAUACAUUGGGCAGUUUUCCUACAGACUGAGACUGACUUGAAGAGGGGAAAGCACCUUCCAAAAACUCUGAGUACAACACAUGGUGCUUUGAGGGUGGAGUUAAAAAUCUGUGCCUGUCCUCAGGGUUUCCCUGUUUGCUGCUGGAGAGAUCUCUGCUCAGAGUCAUUCUCAGCAGUUCACAGAGUACAUUUCCUGUAGCCAUCUCCAGCAUCACCAGGUUGGAUGCUGCUUUUCCAAACAUAUUCCUGCAUCCCACCUUUGGAUCACUUUCUGGAUGUAGACUUUUGCUUUUACUAAAAAUGAGUAUAGACUUCAGAUACUGCAAAACUUAAAAGCAUUCAAAAGAUCCCAGGCUUUUUUUAAAAAAGAUUUGAAGAUUAUCAUCAAAACAAUAAUAGAUUACCAAACCAUUUUAAAAAGUUUCCAAAUGUAAGUGUAGCUCCAGGUCUUAAAUCCAAUGGGGGAAAGAAAAAGCAUUUAUAUGAAGUUUAGCAUUUCCUGGGUCUGAAAUACCUUUAUUCUUUCUGCCUCUGGCCCUGGCUUCUAGAUGUGUGAGGCUCAAAACUAGCCAUACUAACCCUUGAUUUCCAUUUUGUGUUUCUUAGGCAGUUAUGACAUUUUUUUCCUUAUAUCAUAUUAAAAUUAAUGAACAUUCAAGCACCAUUUAUUCUGUUGUACUUACUUUUUCACUUUUUUGCCAGCACUCUAAUAAUGCAAUGUUAACGUAGUAAAGAGACUUAAAUCAUUAUAUGGAAAAAAGAACAUUUUUCAAAGGAGGAGAGGCAUUUGCUUCAGUUUCCUAGGCAAAUUCUCACACAAGUAAUUACAUUCUUCCUACUGCAUUCCUCUGCCACUUCAAUUGGAUAUGGUGUUCCUCCUUAGUUUGUUCCCUAUACUUUUGCAUAGCAUUAUCAAUUACUGUUAAGUAUUUGCUGUCCACCAUCCCAGCAGUGACUUCAUAUAUAAAGGCAGUGAUUGAAGUAAGCCACCAGACAAAUAAAAUUAGGAGCAUCUUCUUGUGGAAUUUACAACCCAAAAUACUCAUUAAUCCAAAUCUGCCAGAUGAAAGCAUUUUUAACCAUGACUAGGAAGUACAAUAACUUAUGACAUUAAUUGGCAACAUAAUUAGCUGUGGUUGCUUUGAAAUGAGGAAUAUUUGAUGGCGACUUUGGUACGGCAAUAUAAGAGGUUCACUGCAGGCCAUGUGUACUGGUACCUUCAAAUUGUGACCACUGUUUUACAACAGAAGUUACAUUGGUGGGUGAAUUUGAGCAUGUUUUCUGUAAGCAGAGGAAGAGAAUGAUCAGCAUUAUGAACCCACAGGAAAAAAAUGGAGAAGGAGAGACGAGCGUUCCUCUCUUGGUAUGCUCACAGUAGGUAUGAGUUCAGGUGUGAAUUGAAACAGCCUGAGACAUGUUCACUAUAUAAUUCCGGGGAACUUUCCACUAUUCCUUCAUAAUCAAAGCAUUUCAGAGCUCCCUGAGAGAAGUAAGUCUUUUUUCCUUUCACAUUUCAGCACAUUUAUUCAGUAAUGGCACAACUGGGACCUGUGGAGCUAGUAUUAGAAUACUAAUUUUAGCUUUUCUUUGAUUCCCCCAUGUUAGAGAAAAAAUACCCCAUAAUUUGCAUGGUCCUUUUCCUUGCAGCUCUUGGCCUUUAACAUAUUCAGUGUAGUAAACCAAAGCCACUGCUACUUGCUUCCCCUGAAAUUAUACCAGUUUAUUUGAUUUCACCCUGGACAUACUCUGUAUGUAAAUGGGAGGGAUACCAGAGAUGUACAGGGAGGGAUACCAGACCCAGUGAUCACACAGAUCUUCUUGGUUGAGGCUGGGGCUGCACUGCAUUCCAGGCCCACCUGCUGGCUGGCUGCACAGGGCUGCAUCAGGGUGGACUUGGGGAAAGCCACCCUCCAUAACCCGAAGUGACAAAACUUAGUGACCAAGCCACACCAAAGCCUUUGAGAAGGAGGAGAGAUUUUGUGGGAAGACAGGGAAAGCGAGGGAAUGCAAGAAUAAUUUCUUCUGGGAGCUGUCAUUAUGGAGGAACUGCUGAAUAUGUCAAGAAUUUGCAGCUCAGAUGCAGGAAAUUCAGCUGAACAAAUUUAAAUGUGAUCUGACAUGGCUACUGGAAAACUAAAAUAAUGAAGUAACUGAUCUUAUUCUGUGUUUCCUAUAGGGGAAUUUUCUUUUGAUAGCUCUGAAAUACAGUGAUGUGUUGUCAUUUGGUUGAGCAGUAAUAGCACAAAUGGGAAACGGUGAAAAGCUCUCACUGAGGAGACGCCAGAACGUAUGUUACCUCAAUACAGUAAGAACUUCAGAAACUAACCCAAGCAACAGUUUUUGAACACAGAACAGCAUAUUUUUGUGAAGGUGAUGUGCGCUGAAGGCUUAGCCCUCCUUCCUUCCCAUAUCCCAUAUCCUUGGAGAGUGAAGAAGAAGAACAGUUUCUUGAGCCAGCAUGAGGAUUUGCUUCAGAGACACUGUAGGAAGGAAUGUGCCAUUCUGGCAGAAAUGAGGAACAAUUAUUCUUUCUGUUGUUGAACCUUCUCUUCAGCAAAAGACAUAGACCAGGGAGAUGAACAAUCUUGAACUUUAUGUGCAUCCAGCACAUAUGCCACCAUCUGGGAUAUGCCACCAACUAUAGGAAGAAACCUAUGUUAAAACAGAAAAUAUGCUACAAAUGUGAUGGUCUUUUUCAAGAUUUUCUGCUUCCCAGAGAAUUGACAAUCCUGCUUCACCACCAGCUGGAAGUGUGGAAGGCAGUCUGGCCAAGAAUAUUGGCAGAAAUGUGAAAUCUCUUCAGUCCUCUGCGUGGCCUUCUAGCAACCUGUGCGGAGGCUGUGUGGUGUCUGCAGGGUUUGAUACCAAACUUGAGAAAUCUGAAGAAGAUUCAGACUGUGGAUUUUAAGAAGUGGUCUGGGGAAGGAAGAGUGAUUAACCUGAAGUGGGAAAACACGAAAGCUGUUAUUUGUGAUGCAGGUGGGUUGGCCUUGGAGAAAAGAACAAGAACUGUUAGCCUCCUGCAAAAAGAAGGAAAUCCAGUAGACAGAAGACCACCUUACACUCGGUGAGAGAGAGUAGAAGUGGCCCACAAUCAUCAGCCAAUCAGUCAAACACAACUCUCCUGGGCAGAGUACGGGAGAAUGCACACCCUGCAGUUUUUUCAGCAUGUUGGAAGCUUUUCAUCUUAAAGUAGGUUUCGCCAACUGGUCUGAGACAGAGCUCUGUGAAACAGCAUGGCAAAAGAACAAGGCUGCGUGCCAUUCAACUUUAAUAAGUCAUGGGAGAAGAUAUUGUUUAGCCUUGCAGAAUUUAUACUCUCAGAUUUAUAACUAAUGGGCAGUUCUUGAGACUGGAGGAGGUGAUCCUGGAAAGCCUGUACAUAGCAUCAACACAGUCGAAGAAAACCAGUGAGAAGCACCAUGGAGAAGAAAGAAGCCAAUGAGCACAGAGCAACAGGCAGCAGCUGUUAUGGGCACAAUCCAACUUCAAGGACCACCCACGGCUUCACUGCAGGAAUUCAGGUGGACUGAAUUGACUAAAUUGAGCCUGAGGAAGGAGAGGAAAAGAUGUUUACUUGAGUGUUUAAUUGUUUAUAUUAUCUCUUUUCUGAUACCUGGAUCAGUGAUCAAAAAUUUCUGUUAAUUGGUAAUUUAUUAAAUUAAGGAAAAGUUGACCAGUUUUUGCCUUUGAUGCUGGCAAGUGCAAUAAACAAACCUUCAUUUCAUGGACACCCUUUAGCAUAUUCUGCUUUGAUAAAGUGGAGAUGCAUAAAAAUCUUUGGAAACUACAGGUAAAUUCAGAUUAAGACUCUUUAUCUUGUCUGAGUACUCUGAAGAGGGGAACAUAUACAAAACUAAAGGAACCUUUGACUACAUCAAUACUAGGCUGACCCAAAGAUAAUUAAUGCAACCAGUUGAUAUGCUGGUUUGAAUUUACUCCUGUACUUCUGUAAUUUCUCAGCUUCCAAACUACAUCUGGUUUAUAUCUGUUUUGGAGCUGUGGAACAGACACACAAAAGGCUGCACCCAUCUCUAGCUAUUUCCUAUUUGUAUGUUAAAAAAAUACAAAUUCUGAAAUUGAAUAAACAACAACAAAACCAAGAAACAACGUGAGUAUUUUUCUAAUAAUGUUUCAAAAACUUAUUUUAUGAGAUUCAUGACAAGCUUAAGAACUCAAAAGGGCACAGUUGGUCAGAGGACCCUCUACUACAUGGCCAAGAAGAGACGCAUGUGAAGACAUCCCAAUACACUAAAGAGUAUUCUGUCAGAUCCUUACUAACAAAGGACAGGUAACAUGUCCCUGUCAGCAUGUUGUACUGUCAGAGAGUAUUAAUUCUGUGCUUAGCAUCCUAAACAUAUGGAAUUGUUUAGGAUGGUAGGAAUUGGAGUGGCAACACCUUCUAGGGGUAGGCUAAACUUUUUUCUCCUAUUGGAGCAAGAUCCAAUAGGGCGGCCCAGGAACACUCCUGUUUCCUUUUGGCUGGUUCUCUUGCCUUUUUGGCUUUUUUCUCCCUAGGUGAGAGGGUGGAUGAGAACUUGCUGAGUUGGCUUUGAAAAUGUAAAAUGUGAAGAAAGGGAAAUUAGACCCUGGCUGUGGUUUAAAUUGAAAUGGAGAUAAAUGUCCAGCACUUUCAAGUGUAAUGGGUGUGUACACAUUUUGGGAGCAGUUCUGAAAGUUUGAUGUAAGUCAGUCUGCUUGUGUAAUUCUACCAUACCUUGUCCAGAUUCCUGUCUGCAGCUAUGUUUAUUUUAGAAAAUGUCUCUUCUAGUAUUAAAACAAAAAUCA